rnacentral:rRNA from 1 species
AGUGAACGCUGGCGGUAGGCCUAACACAUGCAAGUCGAACGGCAGCACAGUAAGAGCUUGCUCUUACGGGUGGCGAGUGGCGGACGGGUGAGGAAUACAUCGGACUCUACUUUUUCGUGGGGGAUAACGUAGGGAAACUUACGCUAAUACCGCAUACGACCUACGGGUGAAAGCAGGGGAUCUUCGGACCUUGCGCGAUUGAAUGAGCCGAUGUCGGAUUAGCUAGUUGGCGGGGUAAAGGCCCACCAAGGCGACGAUCCGUAGCUGGUCUGAGAGGAUGAUCAGCCACACUGGAACUGAGACACGGUCCAGACUCCUACGGGAGGCAGCAGGGGGGAAUAUUGGACAAUGGGCGCAAGCCUGAUCCAGCCAUACCGCGUGGGUGAAGAAGGCCUUCGGGUUGUAAAGCCCUUUUGUUGGGAAAGAAAAGCAGCAGGUUAAUACCCCGCUGUUCUGACGGUACCCAAAGAAUAAGCACCGGCUAACUUCGUG